GACGAACGCUGGCGGCGUGCUUAACACAUGCAAGUCGAACGAAAAGAGGGAAAGAGCUUGCUCUUUCCGGAAUUGAGUGGCAAACGGGUGAGUAACACGUAAACAACCUGCCUUCAGGAUGGGGACAACAGACGGAAACGACUGCUAAUACCGAAUAAGUUCCAAGAGCCGCAUGGCCCAUGGAAGAAAAGGUGGCCUCUACCUGUAAGCUAUCGCCUGAAGAGGGGUUUGCGUCUGAUUAGCUGGUUGGAGGGGUAACGGCCCACCAAGGCGACGAUCAGUAGCCGGUCUGAGAGGAUGAACGGCCACACUGGAACUGAGACACGGUCCAGACUCCUACGGGAGGCAGCAGUGGGGAAUCUUCCGCAAUGGGCGAAAAGCCUGACGGAGCAACGCCGCGUGAGUGAUGACGGCCUCGGUUGUAAACGUACUGUGAUCGGGACGAAAACGGACGACGAAGUGCGAA
rnacentral:rRNA from 1 species